UCUCACGGCAUGGAAAAAUGUAGACAAGU
rnacentral:piRNA from 1 species